rnacentral:rRNA from 1 species
CUUCCGUAGGUGAACCUGCGGAAGGAUCAUUACCGAGUUUUCGGGCUUCGGCUCGACUCUCCCACCCUUUGUGAACGUACCUCUGUUGCUUUGGCGGCUCCGGCCGCCAAAGGACCUCCAAACUCCAGUCAGUAAACGCAGACGUCUGAUAAACAAGUUAAUAAACUAAAACUUUCAACAACGGAUCUCUUGGUUCUGGCAUCGAUGAAGAACGCAGCGAAAUGCGAUAAGUAAUGUGAAUUGCAGAAUUCAGUGAAUCAUCGAAUCUUUGAACGCACAUUGCGCCCCUUGGUAUUCCGGGGGGCAUGCCUGUUCGAGCGUCAUUACAACCCUCAAGCUCUGCUUGGAAUUGGGCACCGUCCUCACUGCGGACGCGCCUCAAAGACCUCGGCGGUGGCUGUUCAGCCCUCAAGCGUAGUAGAAUACACCUCGCUUUGGAGUGGUUGGCGUCGCCCGCCGGACGAACCUUCUGAACUUUUCUCAAGGUUGACCUCGGAUCAGGUAGGGAGACCCGCUGAACUCCAGCAUAUCAAUAAGCGGAGGAA